AUGAACGCCACGGUCAGUGUUAGCGGCGGUGCCAUCUUUGGCCGGAGGAGCCACCGCACUGUCAAGGCGGCGGCGGCUGCGAGCGCUGGCGUCCGCCGCCCGGCGGGCAGGACCACGGACUACUACAAGGUGCUGUCGCUGGAGCACUCGGCGGGCGUGGGCGAGGAGGAGGUCAAGCGCGCGUACCGGCGGCUGGCGCUGCAGUACCACCCCGACGUGUGCCCGACGUCGCGCAGGGCCGAGUCCACGGAGCUCUUCGUCGAGCUCCGCCGCGCCUACGAGACGCUGUCCGACCCGGCUACGAGGGUCCGGUACGACGCUGAGCUGAGGACGGGCCGGGCUGAGGCGAGGCUGGCGGCGGAUGGGUUCGCGAGGGACGUGUGGGAGGCGCAGCUGUGCGUGCUGCGGGCGCGGUCCGAGCGGCGCCAGAAGGCGAGCGGGUACAGCGGCCGCCGGUUCUAG
rnacentral:rRNA from 1 species